UACAGAGGUCUCAAGCGUUGUUCGGAUUCAUUGGGCGUAAAGGGUGCGUAGGCGGCGCGGUAAGUCGGGUGUGAAAUCUCGGAGCUUAACUCCGAAACUGCAUUCGAUACUGCCGUGCUUGAGGACUGGAGAGGAGACUGGAAUUUACGGUGUAGCGGUGAAAUGCGUAGAUAUCGUAAGGAAGACCAGUGGCGAAAGCGGCGUGCUGGACCCCUUCUGACGCUGAGGCACGAAAGCUAGGGGAGCAAACGGG
rnacentral:rRNA from 1 species